rnacentral:rRNA from 1 species
GACGUAGGGCGCGAGCGUUGUCCGGAUUUAUUGGGCGUAAAGAGCUCGUAGGCGGCUUGUCGCGUCGACUGUGAAAACCCGCGGCUCAACCGCGGGCCUGCAGCCGAUACGGGCAGGCUAGAGUUCGGUAGGGGAGACUGGAAUUCCUGGUGUAGCGGUGAAAUGCGCAGAUAUCAGGAGGAACACCGGUGGCGAAGGCGGUCUCUGGGCGAUGACUGACGCUGAGGAGCGAAA